rnacentral:rRNA from 1 species
GAUGAAUGCUGGCGGCGUGCCUAACACAUGCAAGUCGAGCGGCAGCGCGGGGUGCUUGCACCCUGUCGGCGAGCGGCGAACGGCUGAGUAACGCGUAGGAAUUUGCCCCAAAGUGAGGAAUAACUGCCCGAAAGGGUAGCUAAUGCCGCAUAUGGUCUUCGGAUUAAAGGAUUUAUCCGCUUUGGGAGAAGCCUGCGUUGGAUUAGGUUGUUGGUAGGGUAAUGGCCUACCAAGCCGACGAUCCAUAGCUGGUCUGAGAGGAUGAUCAGCCAGACUGGAACUGAGACACGGUCCAGACUCCUACGGGAGGCAGCAGUGAGGAAUCUUCCACAAUGGGCGAAAGCCUGAUGGAGCAACGCCGCGUGAAGGAUGAAGGCCUUCGGGUUGUAAACUUCUUUUAUGAGUGAAGAAUAUGACGGUAACUCAUGAAUAAGCACCGGCUAACUACGUG